AGUUAAAAGACUAACUCGCAGCCUAGCUUAUAAUUUCAAAUUAUAAAUAUUUAACUU
rnacentral:tRNA from 1 species